UACGUAGGGUGCGAGCGUUGUCCGGAAUUACUGGGCGUAAAGAGUUCGUAGGUGGUUUGUCGCGUUGUUCGUGAAAACUCACAGCUUAACUGUGGGCGUGCGGGCGAUACGGGCAGACUGGAGUACUGCAGGGGAGACUGGAAUUCCUGGUGUAGCGGUGAAAUGCGCAGAUAUCAGGAGGAACACCGGUGGCGAAGGCGGGUCUCUGGGCCGAUACUGACGCUGAGGAGCGAAAGCGUGGGGAGCGAACAGG
rnacentral:rRNA from 1 species